UUGCAGUGAUGAUACUAUUUACCCAGCUCAUUAUGAGGCUUCCCUCUGUGGGUAGUUGUGAUAUGAACUUUUCUCUUGUAUCUGAGCUCC
rfam:Brachypodium distachyon strain Bd21 chromosome 2, whole genome shotgun sequence.